rnacentral:Y_RNA from 1 species
AGCAGGUCUGUGUGGGUUAUCAGAACUUAUUAACAUUAGUGUCAGUAAAGUUGGUAUACCACCCCCCCCCACCACUGCAAAAUUUGACUGGCUUAAA